AACUGCUACAUCUCUAAUGAAAACUACUUUUCCUAACUAUUCAUCCAUUUUAACUACUGAACUACCUUUCUAACAGUCAUCUAUCCCUGUUUACACUAUAAACUAAGUAUCUACAAAUCAGCAAAUAACUACUUAUUCUACACUCUCCAUAAUAUUUACUGUAGAAUAUAGUAAAUAUUAUAGCUACAAUAUUUAGAGUCUUGUGAAGAAGUACUGUUUAUCCUCUUUUCUUUUUCUCUUCUUGUAUACAAGACACAACCAGAUCAAUAGAUUUUUAUGUGUGAAGCUCUCUUUCCUUAAAAACCCUCUUGUGUAUAUGACUUUCUACUACUCUUGUGUGUGUGUGUAUGACUUACUAUUACUCUUGUGUCUUUCUAAACAUUCUCAAUACCAUGGAUUACCUAAAUAACUUCUUAGUAUUUGAUAACUAAAGUGUCAUUUAAUAUAAACUCCACUUGUUGAUAUAAUGUUCAUAACCAAUAAAUGUAUCUUUAACCAACAAUACAUUAUUAUUUCUUACAUAAGAAAUGCAUACAAAUGUGGAUCCUAGCAAAAUUUUGAUU
rnacentral:lncRNA from 1 species